CCAAAGCCUAACUUUCGCCAACAAAGUUCCCAGUCCGUCCUCCAAGGGAAGGGGGAGGCCGAAGCGCCCCGGGAGAAGCCGCACCCCCGCGGGACACGCGGCGGAGACUCACCUCCCAGCGCGGGGCCCGGGUUCUCGGGCUGGGGCUCAGAGGAGCCGCACGGUCUGCCCCGCGCCACGGCUGUUCCCGGAGCAGGAGCGGCUCAUAAUCCGUGGAGCGCUCCCACCGGGAAGCCGGCGCGCGUCUCUCCUGUGUGCCGGGCGAGCCGCACGGUCUGCCCCGCGCCACGGCUGUUCCCGGAGCAGGAGCGGCUCAUAAUCCGUGGAGCGCUCCCACCGGGAAGCCGGCGCGUCUCUCCUGUGUGCCGGGCGGCUGGGGCUCCGGUUCCCUCCCGCCCCCGCCCGGGCCCAGGCAGCAGCAGGCGCGCCUCUGAGCCGGCGACGCGCACUCGGCCCUCAACUGGUGAUUUGCGGCUUCUCGGCCCCACCCCAGCGAGCCUAUUCGCACAGCCUUGCGGAACCCCCCGCGACAUUUACAUGCGCUGACCUCGCGUAGUCCUCCUCUACCCGGAUUUUAGUUUGGCUCUCCUCGUGCCUCCUGAGAAGCCAGUCCUCAGGUGUAUGUAGAUCGAUCACCUUGUCACUCUACCCCCAGGGGAGACAACCUCACUUUAUCCACCUCUCCCCUCCCCGCGUAAUUUAAUUACCCAACAGAUCUGAUUUGCUUGUCUGCCGACACCUGGCUGGCUUUGUUUAAAGGGGUUUUGAUGGGAUAAAGACCCAGGUAACCACAAAUGACCAAGCCCUUGGAACAAGCAAAUCAAUUACACUCAUCUGAAGAUAUUAACAGCCAAGUGGGAAGUGGAAGCUGCACUCUGGUAUUAGAUGGCUUGGGAGGGUAAAAAAUUAGAGCCUAGUGGAGGACUACCAGUUACCAAGACCUGUUAUAAAGCUAUAGAAAGAGUAAUUGGUAGCAAAGGAUAGACGGAGAAGGCAAUGGCACCCCACUCCAGUACUCUUGAAAUCCCGUGGACGGAGAAGCCUGAUAGGCUGCAGUCCAUGGGUCACGAAGACUUCACUUUCACUUUUCACUUUCCUGCAUUGGAGAAGGAAAUGGCAACCCACUCCAGCGUUUUUGCCUGAAGAAUACCAGGGAAGGCGGAGCUUGGUGGGCUGCCAUCUUUGGGGUCGCACAGUCGGACAGCACUGAAGCGACUUAGCAGCAGCAGCAGCAGCAAGAAUAGACAAUAGAGUCCAUAAACAGGUCUACAUUAUAAGGUCACUUGAUUUACAUGGAAGAUGCUGAUGUGAUGCACUGAGGAAAGGGUGGUCUUUUCAGUAAAUGAUGCUUGAUCAACUGAAAAGCCACAUGGAGAAAAAAAGAAGAAUCUUGACCUCUACCUUGGUGGUGGUGGUGGUUUAGUCACUAAGUCGUGUCCGACUCUUGCCAUCCCGUGGACUGUAGCCUGCGCGCGUCUCUCCUGUGUGCCGGGCGGCUGGGGCUCCGGUUCCCUCCCGGCCCCGCCCGGGCCAGGCAGCAGCAGGCGCGCCUCUGAGCCGGCGACGCGCACUCGGCCCUCAACUGGUGAUUUGCGGCUUCUCGGCCCCACCCCAGCGAGCCUAUUCGCACAGCCUUGCGGAACCCCCCGCGACAUUUACAUGCGCUGACCUCGCGUAGUCCUCCUCUACCCGGAUUUUAGUUUGGCUCUCCUCGUGCCUCCUGAGAAGCCAGUCCUCAGGUGUAUGUAGAUCGAUCACCUUGUCACUCUA
rnacentral:lncRNA from 1 species